rnacentral:rRNA from 1 species
AUGAACGCUGGCGGCGUGCUUAACACAUGCAAGUCGAACGAAGCACUUUGAUCGAUUUCUUCGGAUUGAAAUUUUAGUGACUGAGUGGCGGACGGGUGAGUAACGCGUGGGUAACCUGCCUCACACAGGGGGAUAACAGUUGGAGACGGCUGCUAAUACCGCAUAAGCGCACGGUAUCGCAUGAUACAGUGUGAAAAACUCCGGUGGUAUAAGAUGGACCCGCGUCUGAUUAGCUAGUUGGUGAGGUAACGGCCCACCAAGGCGACGAUCAGUAGCCGGCCUGAGAGGGUGAACGGCCACAUUGGGACUGAGACACGGCCCAAACUCCUACGGGAGGCAGCAGUGGGGAAUAUUGCACAAUGGAGGAAACUCUGAUGCAGCGACGCCGCGUGAGUGAAGAAGUAAUUCGUUAUGUAAAGCUCUAUCAGCAGGGAAGAUAGUGAUGGUACCUGACUAAGAAGCUCCGGCUAAAUACGUG